UACGGAGGGUGCAAGCGUUAAUCGGAAUUACUGGGCGUAAAGCGCGCGUAGGCGGUUUUUCAAGUCGGAUGUGAAAGCCCCGGGCUCAACCUGGGAACUGCAUCCGAUACUGGAAGACUAGAAUGCGGGAGAGGGAGGUAGAAUUCCAUGUGUAGCAGUGAAAUGCGUAGAUAUAUGGAGGAAUACCAGUGGCGAAGGCGGCCUCCUGGCUCGACAUUGACGCUGAGGUGCGAAAGCGUGGGGAGCAAACGGC
rnacentral:rRNA from 1 species